rnacentral:misc_RNA from 1 species
UCAAACUUGGUCAUUUAGAGGAAGUAAAAGUCGUAACAAGGUUUCCGUAGGUGAACCUGCGGAAGGAUCAUUAAUGAAUAAACUUGUGUGGGUUGUUGCUGACCUUUUUGGAGGUAUGUGCACGCCUGCCAUUGUUUCAUUCUCCCUUCCACCUGUGCACUCCCUGUAGACUGAGCUACUGCAACUUCAGGUGUAUACUGUGCACCUGGUAUGAGGACUGCUCCCUGCUGUCCUCGAGUGGUAGUCUACGUCUACGUCUUUACCAACUCCAUUGUAUGUGAUAGAAUGUAUGUUCUGGGUUCUUUACAGACCCAUAAAAUCUAUACAACUUUCAACAACGGAUCUCUUGGCUCUCGCAUCGAUGAAGAACGCAGC